GGAGGUUUUUAAAGGACAAUCACUUUUCACCACGUUCGACCAUAAAAGGACUAUCCAUGUUGGAUCGAAUUCGAAUUUAGCACAUUGCCUACUGUCUGUAAUCAUGACUUUUUCUGAACAUUGAAAACAAUUUAAAUCUUUUAAAGACUAUGCUAAGGUUGACAAAAAAAGAAUAUACUGGGUAUGAAUGUGAUGCAGUAUAAAUGCAGAAGAAACACAGGAGAAAUAGAAUGCAGUUUAAUCUGCAUUUUUUGUCCAUUCAUCUUUAAUAUGCAGAAUAAAUAAACUGCAGUUUUAUCUGCAUGCAGAACAUUUUACAGGUAAAAAAAAUUGUCCUGCAAACACAUCAAAAAAGAGGCUGAUCAAAAACAGAGGCCCAAUGGGUGAUUUUCUUUUUUCUUUUAUUUUUGUUUUCUUCUUUUGUCUUUUUUCCUAUAAAUACUACACAUAACUUCAUUUUUUUAUUUAUAAACUAAAAAGUUCUAUAAUAUUUUAAAAAACACCUAUAUACAUGUUUACUUGACAUAUUCAUAAUUUAACCAAAAUUUUCUGUAUAAAGUAUUUUACACAUUAUUUUAGUAUGCUAUAAAAUAUAUAAAUAUACUAAUUAAUCUAAUUAGAACAUAACAAAAAAAUAUGAAACUCAAACUACACCAAAAUUUACAAAAACUGAACGGGUACUCUUUUUAAAAUUUGAAAAAUAAAAAUGGUUCGACCCCUCUGAAUUACUUGAAUAUUUGCCGGGCAUAUACAGUUUUAAAUCGAACUUUCAUGGGUUUUUUGUUUUUGUUGUUUUUUUUUUGCUUUAAACUCGAAGUAAAUUAGAACUAUUUUUAAUUCAGCUAUGUUUUGGGUUUAAUAAAAAAAAACUGACAUGAGUCCGACAUUAAUUAUUUGAAACUACAAGUACUACACAUAACUUCACUUUUUCAUUCAUAAACCCCAAAAUUAUUUUAAAUAUUAAGUUUUUGGUUUUAUUUGUUCGUUUUAAUAUAUAUUAACUUUAAGAUAUUUGUUUAUAAAAAUAUGUAAAGUGAUAUAAGUUUUAGAUAAAUAUAAAAACAUAUAUGUUACUAGUUGAUUUACUGUAAAUAUAUUAUGUACAACUAAAAAUACUAUAUAUUUAAAAAAAUUAAUUGUAUGUUGUAAUUAACUUAAUUUUAUAUAAUGUUCAAAUUUUCAUUGUAUUUAAUUUAAUAAUAAUAUUUAUUUUUAUAUAUAAGAAUUUGUAUUUUUUUGUUUAGAUAUUUAUUUACAUAUAUUAAAUCAUUCGUUCAAUGUUUUGAAAACCGUACCAGACCGGCCGGUUUGUCGGUCGGACCGUGACUCGCUCUUCUAACCGGUUUUGAGUUUUGCUAAUAACCGGAUUUGAGUUAAACCGGUAAACCAAUCCAAACCGGUCAAACUUAUUAAAAUUGGUGAUCCGGUUUGAUUUUAAAGGCCGCUUUCUGAAAUUCAAAUUACAUAAAAUUGCCAAAUUAAAAAAAAAAAUAAAAAAAUCAAGUUUUAUAAAUAUCUAUCUAAAAUAAAUUAGCUUUCGUUGUAUUUUUAUAUUAUUUUAAAAAAUUAUUUUAUUUUCAUAUCAUUUUUAGAUUCUAACAAUGAUAUAAAGAUUAUAAAAAUAAUUUUAUAGUUAUGCAUGUAUAUAUAGUUAUUUAAUUUAAAAUUAACUUAAAAUAUAAAAUUCGGUUGAACCGGUUGGACCGUAUGACCAUUGAUCCAAUUGCAAUACUAAG
rnacentral:lncRNA from 1 species